CCGCUGACUUGGUAAAGACAAUCGAACGGGUGAAGUGUCCGACGAGAAAGCCUUUGUUAGUUCAAACCCCAAUGGGAGAAAUACAGGCAGAUCAGGUUUGCUCAAAUAUCAACCUUGUCAUAAAGAAGGAAAACUUCACUGUAAACCUCAUUGUGCUAGAGUCACUCAAUAUUCCUUUGGUUCUUGGCAAUGGAUGGUUAUGUGCACACAAGGCAGUGAUCUAUGCUACCCAGUGGAAAAUUUUCUUAACCGCACCAUCAGGGAAAAGAAUUGAGUAUCAAGGUGGUCCACUCCUACCUGAGGAGGCAUACCCAUGCUAAGUUAUCAUGUCUUUGAGUUGUAUAAGUCAAAAAGUUGGUAGACAAGAUGGAUUUUAAUCAGCUAUGAAUAAUAGACAUUUUAUGGAAGUUUUGUUUACAAGUUGUGAUCCCCGAGACAUAAGUGAUUACAUUGGAAUACAAGUUGUGAAGUUGAAUUAGAUAUCAAGAUCUUGUUCUUGUUUCUCUUUUGGAAUCCGUGUCUCUUCCGAAUCUCGAGGACGAGAUUCAUUUUAAGGGGGGUAGAUUUGUAACACCCUAAAUUUUGUUCUUUUAGAAAUAGAUGAAAAAUAAUUUAAUUUUGAAUUUUUGUGCUCAUAAAACAUAGGGGAAUAAUAUUUUUCAGUAAAUUAAAACUUAUCAUAGGGUUUAGUAACAUGUAUGUGCACUCAUGCUGGAGCAUUUAUAUUUUUGUACUGUGUAACUUUGAGUAAAGUUCAAAAGUAUUUCAAAACUGAUUUUUAAAAGGGACUUGAAAUGGCUUUGGAAUAAAAGAAAGGAAAAUAGAAAAAAAAAACAACAAAACCUUUCUCCUCUUCCCCCACUCAUUCUGGCCCGAAGGCCCAAACCCUCCUCUCCCCCUUCCUUCCUUCCCCCCCCCCCCC
rnacentral:lncRNA from 1 species